AUGUCUUUAUGAUGAUUCUGUUAUCGCCCCAGUCAGAAUAAAGUUGUUGAUUGAUUUUUCUGAUAAUAU